GAUGAACGCUGGCGGCGUGCCUAAUACAUGCAAGUCGAGCGAACAGACGAGGAGCUUGCUCCUCUGACGUUAGCGGCGGACGGGUGAGUAACACGUGGAUAACCUACCUAUAAGACUGGGAUAACUUCGGGAAACCGGAGCUAAUACCGGAUAAUAUAUUGAACCGCAUGGUUCAAUAGUGAAAGACGGUUUUGCUGUCACUUAUAGAUGGAUCCGCGCCGCAUUAGCUAGUUGGUAAGGUAACGGCUUACCAAGGCAACGAUGCGUAGCCGACCUGAGAGGGUGAUCGGCCACACUGGAACUGAGACACGGUCCAGACUCCUACGGGAGGCAGCAGUAGGGAAUCUUCCGCAAUGGGCGAAAGCCUGACGGAGCAACGCCGCGUGAGUGAUGAAGGUCUUCGGAUCGUAAAACUCUGUUAUUAGGGAAGAACAAAUGUGUAAGUAACGAUGCACGUCUUGACGGUACCUAAUCAGAAGGCCACGGCUAACUACGU
rnacentral:rRNA from 1 species